CGAAGAACUACAUAUUUUUAAUUCAACGUUUCGACUACUGUUGAGUCAUCAUCAGGAAAAAAAUUCCUAAUGAUGACUCAACAGUAGUCGAAACGUUGAAUUAAAAAUAUGAAGUUUGGAA
rnacentral:miRNA from 1 species